CCCUGAGUUUUGGUGGGCACUGUCUAUUAGGGCAAUGUCUGCUAAGAAAUGAAAGGGAGGCAGGGAAAGAAGUUCAGGCUGCUCACUAGCAGAUGGGAGGAGCAAGGCUCUUCCCACGGCAGGGACAACUGUCUGUGGAAGAAACUCCUCCCCACAAACCCACGGGAGGAGGAAUGCAGACAUUUCUGCAGGGUUGCCUUCCUUCAGCCAGCAGGGGCAGAAUGGACUCCGUCCUUGAUUAGCCUCUGCAACAGCUCCUUUACUAGGAUAAACAGUUACACGCAGACAUCACAAAAGGAUGCUGGCUCUCCCGACCUCUCCACUAAGAGUGGGUCCUGGGAACAGAGUGAUUCUGUUUAAGAGGACUUCAUCCUGAGCUCAAGACUGAGUGCCUACAGGUCAGUUUGGCCUCAGCGUUAAUGCCCAAGCUCCUGUCCUCAUUUGACCGUGUGCAAACUCUGCUGUGUCAUCUCUCAUGUGGUGGAAAAUGGAGGGAUGUGAAACUGGAGAGGAAUCUCGAAGUGUUUUAGCUCUUCACAGAAAGAGAAGCCUGCGUGUCGUGACCGCAGAAGCCCGUGAGUGCCACACUUAGGGAAAGCUUGUGCACCUCAACGGAAAGCCCGUGCGGCCAAAAACGGUGCCCUAGCAACAGGCUGUUAUCACCUGUGAUGCCACCUUUUUUAAAAGAGAUAAAAAUCAUACAAAAGCAUCAUCCUUGAACCACCCUAUUUGCUUUCUUGCUGAUGAAAAUAAACGCCAGGGUCAGUCUUUGGCAACACUGAGAAG